UCCCAUGUUCUUGAAUAGUGUGGAAAAACAGUUUGAUUCUGGAGAUGGUAACAAAGAUGAGGUCCUAUCCUCUGUUGGAAUUCCUGUGUUUUGGUUAGUUCUCUGGCAGCUUGCCUUAGGAUUUUGCCUAGUAUCCUUCUCUAUCUACUUCUUGCAUAGUACAAACAUGGAGUCAGCUCCUCUCCUACAAGUCCCAACCAGAUGUUGUUUGUUGAUUGAUCUGGUAGCUUUUGAGAUGUUGGUCUGACCUUUUCUCCAGAUGUUGCUCCUGGUGUCCUGCCUGAGCACUGAGUUAGCUGAGUGCUGGUCUGGCCCCCUCUCCUAUUAUGGUUCUUCUGUGGACUCUCUGAACUCUGUUGGUCAUGAGUUGCCUGGAUGCUGGGCUGAUUCUGUCUAGUGCUUUGGUUUAGGCAUUGACUGCCUGGGUGAUGUGUUGACUACUUGGUGUGCUUCAUUGAGAAUGGUCUGGCUCUUUAUCAUCCCUGAUUUCUGUUGUGAUUUGAGUGGACUCCCUGAGAUCUGUAUUGGGUUUUGGGCUAGUCCUGUCUCUUACUGAGAUUCUGGGCUAUUUGUGCUCUAUGGCUUCCACCUACACUGAACUGGUUUCCAUUCAGAGCCUCCCAAGGUUCCUGGGAGCCUUCUCAUAAAUUCCUGGCUGGAGGGAUGAGUCCAGGGCCAUUUUCCUUUAUCCUUAUGAUAUGUAUUUUGAUUGUAUUGGAGUAUUUGGUGGUAGUGGUGGAUCUUGCCUUCUCUAGGUCCUAAAAGUCUGACAUUUUAGCCAGAAGUCGCAAUAUUUCAAAUGAUAGCUUGUCCAAAUAUUUACAUAAUAGCUUUCACUUGUUUGUGUAGUAUAUUGUGGAUUUCCAAGAAUGUGUUUGGUGGAAGAGAGAAGGAGAGCAGGAUUUAAUAGACCAAUUGUAGGAAAUAAACUUGUAAGGCAGAGAAAUAUGAUCUCGGCACUUUUUAACAAAACACACUUAGGGUCAUAUGAAACUAUAAAUAUCUCUGGGAGCAUGUGGAUUUCAUUAGACUCGAGACUCACUCAGUGCACCUUUUGGAAGGCAACUGAGAGAGCAGACACAUUUCAAUAUGUGCCCUUCUCCUCAAAGACUACCAAGAUGUCAAAAGUUUCCAAGGGCGCGGGUCUGUCUCUGUCUGUCUGAUGGUGCAAGUGGUGCCACACCUCACUCUCCCUCUUGCCAGAUUCAUGGCAACUGUUCUUUAGAGGAAAAAGAAAUCAUUUGUUAAUGCUUCUAGCAGAGAGAGGUGGAGUAGAUGGCCAUGUCUUUCCAGUGCUUAUUCUAUGUUCCCCAUUUGUGGGCUUAAUGACUUCUUGGAGUUCGAAGCUCUUUAUUAGAGAAGAAUUGAAGCUUAGUGUCAGAUACAGAAUUAUCUUUAGAUCAAUGGAGACUUGAGUUAAAGUCCCUCUGACAGAAUGUGUGACACUGGACAUGUCACCUAAACUUUUCGAGCUCUUAUAAAUGUUCUAAGAUUUUAAAUUACAAAAAAAAAAUAUCCUGACCUAUAUUGAUAUGAGUAGAAGAAGGCAACCAAUUAAAACAUAGGUCAUUCUUUAACACUUCCCAUUGUGAAGAUUGGAUUUGGCUGUUUCCUUAUUGUAACAAUGGAGGUACUUAGCUCUUCCUUUAUUGUGAAGAUUAAAUUGUAAUCCCCUGUCUAUUUUUAGAUUUUAAUCCCCAAAGUUUUAACUCAGUAUUUAAAGUAGACCUACCAAUUUUAACUAUAAAAGGUGUUAACCAAAAAAGAUGUUAACUAACCAUAAAAGGUUAACUGUUAACUGUGUUAACUAACUAAAAAAGAUGUGACACUCACUUCAUACAUUGAAUGGGCGGUCCUGAAGAGGAGCAUCUGCUGUGAUUGGUAGACAUAAGAAUUUAGGGGAGGUGACACAAGAGAAAAAAGGUCUUUAAAUAGAGGAAACAGAGGCACACAUGGAUGAAUGAAGAAUUCAGUCACCCAGAGUUGGACUGAAUAGAAGUCACUCUGGCUUAGAGUCACUUGGGCUUGGGGUGAAGAAGAGACACUCAGAGGAAAGACUGGAUCAUUAGAUACAAUCACUCAAAGUUGGACUGGAAGACAGACACUUGAGGAGAGGCUGGAAGACACUCAGACUUGGAGUGAAGACAUUUGGCUGUGGAACUGGACCCCUGGAGGAGCUUGUGCAGGAGACCUCAGACUGCUUUCCUUUUAGAUGGUCACCAUGAUGAAAAAAAAUGACAUCCAGAGAUAUAAAGGGACUUGCCUACAGUUGAGGAAAUUGGAACCUAAGGAUAUUUUACAAAACCACAUAAAACAAGCAUUUCUAUAUACAAAGAAAAAGAAGAUUGUAUGUAAAUGAAAUCAUAAAUAUCUUAAAUGUUUGGCAUACUUUUCCUUAUAAUUACAUAA